AUUGAACGCUGGCGGCAUGCCUUACACAUGCAAGUCGAACGGCAGCACGGGAGCUUGCUCCUGGUGGCGAGUGGCGAACGGGUGAGUAAUGCAUCGGAACGUACCCAGGAGUGGGGGAUAACUAUCCGAAAGGAUGGCUAAUACCGCAUAUUCUGUGAGCAGGAAAGCGGGGGAUCGCAAGACCUCGCGCUCUUGGAGCGGCCGAUGUCGGAUUAGCCAGUUGGUGAGGUAAUGGCUCACCAAGGCGACGAUCCCUAGCUGGUUUGAGAGGAUGAUCAGCCACACUGGAACUGAGACACGGUCCAGACUCCUACGGGAGGCAGCAGUGGGGAAUAUUGGACAAUGGGCGCAAGCCUGAUCCAGCCAUGCCGCGUGUGUGAAGAAGGCCUUCGGGUUGUAAAGCACUUUCAGUAGGGAGGAAGCGUUGUGUGUUAAUAGUACACAGCGUUGACGUUACCUACAGAAGAAGCACCGGCUAACUCUGUGCCAGCCGCCGCAGUAUAC
rnacentral:rRNA from 1 species